CUUCCGCUCACAGAUCCUUCAUCUUGUUGCCAACUGCGCCCACCUAUUUGGAGGCUUCUCCCUGAGAGUGGCAACUUCAAAGUGUGGGAGGCAGGGCGACUCUGCGGUUGAGAACCCUCAAGGAUCUCAGUGUUAGACUCUGCUCACGGAUUCCCGGGGCCCCUGCUCCAGGGAAAUGACCCCUGGUGACCUUGCCCCUCACCCUCAAACCCUGUCACCUCACCAUAAAGGCCUAACCCUUUCUGGGAAAAUGAAUCCCAUUUCCAACUUGGCGCGCUGCUAAUUCUAUAAGCCCUAACAAAGGCGCCUUGCAUCUGCAGUAUACUUUUCCUUUUAGAAUAUGGCAAGCCUUGAGUUCUAGACCCAUCUCUGCCUAGACCUUUCCAAAGCCUUAGUUUUGAAGUGUACGGAGAACCCACUCCCGGAUCCUUAGAAAGCCAAACACUGCCACACCUUAAGAUUCUGCAAGAAGGGAAAGAUUUACUGCAAUCCUGUAUGCAAUGGAAGAAGCAAAGCUCAGGAACUGUUUUUGCAAGGAGCACUUAAAACUGAUUCUACAAAGGACAUGAUCUCAGCUAAGUAGCAGACAAGUAUGAGAGAAAAGUCUAAGUCCUGCAUUUAAGAAGAUGGACAUUGUGGUCCGAGAAGUGGUGCAAUAGAUAAAGCAUUGCGUUCUCUAGCAUGAGGUCCCAAGUUCUGUCCUCAACAAUACAUAUACCAAAGUGAUGUUCUAGUUCUCUUUCUCUCUCUCUCUUCCUAUCUCUCACUAAUAAAUAAAUAUAAUGAAAA